rnacentral:snoRNA from 1 species
AGAUCGAUGAUGACUCCCUCAUAUGCAUUCCUUGGAAAAGCUGAACAAAAUGAGUGAGAACUCCUACCGUCUUUCUCAUCGAAUCUGAGGUCC